UAUAGAAACUUUAUUCAUAACAGCCGCUUUUCGAGCCAGAAAAGAUCUCCAUGUGAUCUCUAGCGCUGUGAUCAGUAAGAGUAAAGAAAGCCCAGGGAAAUUAAGUGACAAGCCCACCUGUGGCUCAGGUCUUGAUCCCAGAACCAGACCCUCUCCUGACUUCCCAGUGUGGAUUUCCUAGGCUUGUUGGAACAGUCUCAGAAUACUGAUUCUGAUAGGUCCACACUUAGGGUUCCAGAAUUCCUACACUGUGAUGCUCAGGUGAAGCUCACCUAGAAAUCUUCCUGCUGGGUAUCGUCCCAAAUACCUGAUGUUCUUUCUCCUUUGUCUCCGUGCUCCAUCGCCCACCUGAGCUCUGAUAAGCCACAGACUAAAAAGGAAUAGAAGCCGCCGAUAUAAUCUCUAGGACAAAAUGAUGUUUUCUGCAAUCUCUGCGCAGAGAUUUGGUGAUAGCUCUUUGUAGUCUCCGUUCGGUAUUGGAAAACAACAAAAACAAACUUCUUUGGAAAAGCUGAGUUGUAGCUCGUCCCUAAUGCUGGUUUUCUCCCUGAGGCCCCUUGAGAGUAGGAAGGAACAUUCUCCAGCAACUUGUUUUUAGGGAGGGAAAGAAAAGUCCUCUAAGCAUUGCUUAAACGGGAGCCCACUGUGCCUUUUAAAUGAAAAACACCAUUGCUGUUUAGAUGAUUUAGAAGAUCUACCAUUAUAAGUUCUGGGUAACACGAUCCACUAAGGAAAAACAUAAAAUUAGAGUCAUUUAAGGAGAUUAAAGGAAAAGUAACCAGGGAUUACAUAAUUUAAGGAUUUUGAAUUGCUUUAACAACGUUACCUAAUUAGCCUGCAAGUUUCUCUGCGAGGAAGAAGGUUUCCACGCUGCAUGCGUACCGAAAGGAGGCUUAUUUUCGAUUUCAGAUACGUCAGUGCAGAGAGAUGGGGAGAAUCAGGGAGAAUGUUUGAUGAUUGAUGGGCAGCGUUGGGUAGGGGUUGGGGGCUGCAGUUAGGGCAAAUGGGGGAUGUUUAGAAUAUUUCUUGGGUGUUUAAUGCUAGGUUAAGUAGGGUUUAAUUGGAAGGAGCAGGGAGAGGCAAUUAUAACAUGAAUGUGGCUAUUGAGGGGCAAUACCCGGAGAGGUGUUUUUGUCCUAAAAUUCCAGAGUUCCUUCUCUGCGUUUUGUCUCCCCACUUCAAUUCCUCCAGGGCACCCACCUUGAUUUUCCCCUAGAGCACAAGGCUCAGAAUUACAAAAUAAACGUUGCUGAGCCGCUGAGCGGUUUAGAAAUCGGAUUGUAAGCCUUCUGCUGUGACUUACCAGGAAGGAAAUAUGCGUUCUGAGACAAGGAGAGACCUUUCAAGGGAAAGAGAGAGGGAAGAAGGGACUCAGAGCGCAGGGUCUGGGGGAAUGGUUGUCUGAAGGGGGCGUGGGGAAUACCGUCGGGGGUUAAGAGCCUUCGGAAUUCAAAAUGAGAGAUGUCUAGGUGACUUCUCACUAAGAAGAAGCCAACCAUAAAUUCAGACAUAGAGCCCGAAAUGGCGGCAGGUAACAUUUUGGCAGAGUCAGUAACAUCUGACCUGGGGUUGGUGCCCAGAGGGCUGAGCGGCUCGAAUGGAGGGUCCAGGGGGCAGAUGCAGUGAAGAAGAUGAGAGAAAGCAAACUUGUAGGAAGUUAAAGACUGGGCAAGCCGCUGCUGCCGCCGGGCCCAUGUGUGACCCUCCGUGCCUCCGCCUGGCUUCCCUGCGCACACCACGUCCACAGUGACACCCCCCCCCCCCACUCCCGUGUUCCUGCUUUAGAGCUCUUUUCAGCCUCCUUUCCAUUUCCUCCUCGUUUCACAUCCUUCUCUUCUGCCUCUGCCCCUGGAUGAAAAUCAGACUCCCUCCUCCUCCGCUCCCAGCACAGCGGCCCUGUUUAUCAUUCUUCUGGAAGUUGCCAUUUUGUUGGGGUCAUGUUUCUCCAGAGGAUGAGAGUAUGAAUGAACAGGUGUUGUUGUUUUUUAAAACCCAUCGCUCAAAGUCAAUUGUGUCAGCAUAUUAUAUUUUUAAGUAAAUGCUUGGCUCACACAUGAGUGAAAAUGCUGGAUGAUGGAGCAAGGCAGCUUGGGUCCAAAUUGUGAUUCCCGCGCUUCCUGUCUUCAACCUCUUGAGUUUUAGCCAAGGGGGCUAAAGAUGGUGCUGCCUUUCUGGGGUCAUUGGAAUGAUUAAAUGAGAUACUUUGUAUGAAGAACUUAGCACAGUGCCUUCUACAUGACUCAUGAUUACUAUCGUUAUUAUCAUGACAUGAACGUCAGAACUUUGGGCUCAGAGUGUGAAACCCUGUUUCAUUCUCAGAUCUUCCAAUGGCUAAGUGUCUUCCUAUUUCAGAGUCUAAGUUUUCUGUUUCUAAAAUAGAAAUUGUAACAGCCAUGCCUUCUCCACUUUGUUGAGAUGCUGUGAGAAUGACUGAUACUAUAUUUGCUAGGACUCCGAGUCUUUGGAAAUGACAAUGAAAUACGUUCUGGAGUCAACUGUCCUUGAUAUGUUAGGACUUGAACCAUUUUUAUGUGAAGAAGAGAGGCCUCAUCGUUGUGAAAGGGGGCAAAGUGAAAGUAAUAUGACUCCAGGGAUUGUCCAGGGAGGAAUGAGCCUCAGGCCAAGACUUCCUUUUCCAUGAGUCGCUCCAUGUCAUUCCAAAGUAGAUAGAUAGCAGCCGUUGUCUACCUUUGUCUGCCUGGCCAGGCAGAGUACGACAUGGAUUUGGGGGCUAAAAUUAAUGAGAGGAGAAAAGAUUGUCGUCAGCUAAGAAUAACCAUUCCGAGAAGUUUGUAUUGGAGGAGAGUAAGAGAAGUUGAAGGCUUCUAGGGGAAAGCAAUGCUAUCAUUAAUUGGAAUAACUCAGUUAUCACCCAAGAUGAAAUUCCUACUUCAAAGCAGUCUGAUUCGUGGCACUUCCUAUAAUUGAUACAGCAAAGCAGCCACAGUCACUAUGGAGAACAGGUUGGGCUGAUGGAUUCUGUGUGAUUCUAGUGAGCUGCUCCGCUGUAGGGAUUCAUGGAGUGGUGCCUGGUUUUCUGUCUGGACCUUCUGCUGUUCUCCACCCCGUAGUCUCUGUUCUCUACUGCGGACAUUCCUCACAAUCCCACCCCCGGGGGGUACCUUGGGUGCUUUUGGGAAAGAAUACAAUUUUCUUUCCAUUCGUCCCCUCAAACCUGAAUUUCUUAAAAAAAAAAAAAAAAAAAAAAAAAGAAGAAGAAGCUUUUCUCUUGCCUCGCUCUGGUGUUCUUCCGUCACAACACACUCGCCAGCUGUUUCAGGAUCUCCUCAUGAGGGGUACUUUCCCUUCAUUGCCUUUGGUCGGUUUGAACGAAGCAUGAGGCUGUGGGAACUUGUGACCAGUGCGUGUUCCGGACUGUCCCGAAACCUCUGUGAGGGAGGGCCUGAAUCAGGACUUAGUACACAGAAGGCAUUCAAGUGAAUGCGUGAAUAACUGGUCUCUGAAACUGGGCUGCCAGAGCUCAGGGACUGGCCCCUGGGGAUCACGUUCAUUUUUCUCAGUAGGAAUAUUAGCAAAGGUAAGACCCGCAUUAACAGUUCAGCCCUUCCAUCUACACUAAGAUGUGUGUUCCUCCAUUCCCACCCCUGCCUCCCCAGCUCAGGCAUAUCUUAAGGUCCUGCAAGGGAACACUCAAGAUUUCAGCUGCUGGCACACGCGGCUGGCAUCUCAGGUGAUGCCGAAGCCAGCCAGCCACGCGGUCGUGAGUGAGGACGGAGCGAGAGCCUGGCCGUGAUGGAUGGCCUGUCCGAGGCUGGCGACGCGGACUUGCUGUGAUGAAUUUGCCUUCGUUGUAGGCGAGCCAGUAAUCACAGCCUCGCUGUGGUAUCAGGGGAUCACCCUCCUCAUCCCUGAAAAGGGGGUUCCGUGUUCACAUGCACAUCCUUUGUGCCACUCGCUGUCCCUCUCUUCUGGCGGGAGCGGAGAGAUUUUACUGAUUCCCUCUGGCUACCGGACUCUUCAGUGUCAAACAGAGCCUCGUUAAGACUCCAUUGCAGCGGGGCUGACCCCACAUCAGGAAACAGACCCCCGCAGUCACACAAGCCACGCAGAGCAGCUCCCUCUGCUCCUGUCUCCUGCUGUCCCCAUCGGAAAAUCCACAGCCACAACCUUUCCCAGCCUUUCAUCUGCCUCUGGAGACUCAGGGAAGCCAAUGGGAGCAUUGAUCAUCUGACAACUGUGCUGUCCUUCAGGGCACAGAAGCGUGGUGGGCGUCAUCGCCCACAGGAGCGUAUGGGGAGGGAAGCCUUAGGUAUUGUGCCUCGCGCCACAGGUUAGUGGCGGCCCCUCCCUCGGGAGGCUUGGCUUGGGAUCGCUUCUGUUUUGCGGUACUAUGUGUAACCUUGGCAUGCAAUCAGCAGGGAAAAUAUUCAUUAUUGCCUGACUGUCUGCCGAAGACAAUUUCAAUUAUUCUGGCAUUUCAAUGGAUGAAGAAGCCCUUUAGGCUGGCCCGGGAGAUUAGACUUACAGGCUCUGUAAAUUAGGAAAGUUACAAUCAGUAUAUUAUCUGGCAGGCAGCUGUGGGAUACACCACAGCAGGCAAAGAGAGACAAAUUGCUAUAUUCCGGUUGUGGUUUUGAUAUAUCAAUUUACAAGUUUAACAUACACAUUUGCGAAAGAAUGAUUUUGCAUUUCCUAAAUCACUUUUAACUGCCUGCACUCGAAGUUUCUGAACCUGUCCCUUGAAUAGUCGGCUCGCAUUGCUGACGUUUUGUUUUAAAGCCCAAUUUCAGCUGGGAAAAAAUAUUGCUGAGGACAGAGCUUGGGAAUUAAUGUUUCCUAAAGUUAUGCAAAUAGUAUAAUAUAUGUCAGUUAAUCAGAAUAUUCCAUUUGCAGAAAUGUGAAUAACAUCCCACAGAAAGGCUUUUUCUUUAAUGGGAUGUUUUUCCCGUCUCCCCCUCCGCCCCCAGAUUCUCUCUGUUGCGAUCAUUGUAUCGACAUAUUUAAUAUAUAGUAUUUCACCAUGCCUGUCUGAUGUGAUAAUCUGAAAAUAAAAAUACUGAGCCGAAUAAUCUAUCAAAAUACUUCAAAACGGUUGCAUAAAUGACAUCUAUUGGUAAAGAAGUUCUUCACGAUUCUUCAAGUUCUUUCUGACCAUUUUUGAUAUCUUAGCACUCACCUAUCAUUUGAACAAUAGAUUUACUUUUUACCUUUGUAAAUUUUCCUUUAAAAAAUACAUCUAGAUGCUGCUGAAUGCUCACAGCUCUUCCUCAAGUAGAAUUAACAUUUCCUAGCUGAGUUUAAGCGAUUUUCAGAAAAAUUGUUUGGCUUCUGGUUAAUAUGAAAAUUUUUUUUUCCGAGCCCGAUGGUUACCUUGAAAACAGCGUUCAUCUUUAUAUUUGCCCGAGUCCUUUAUAAAGCAAGUCAAGAGACAUAAAGAAUUACUAAAAUACAGAUAUUUAUACGAGAGCUUUAUAAACAGUGUGUGGCUCCGAUGCCCCCAGAUAACUCCCACUUUCUAAUAGGCCUCUCUGAAAUUCAAAACGAGCACAGAAAACUCCAGAGGAAGCUUCUUUGCUCUGGAAAUAUUUACGUUCACUGGGUAAAGCAGGAGGGCGGGUUUGGAUACAACGUCAUUCUCAGUUUAUUUAAAAAGAGUUUUAGAAUUUUAAUGUGAGAAAGUUAUACUGGCUAUUAGUGUGAAGUUAUACUGGGUGUUAGUGUGAAGUUAUACUGGGUGUUAGUGACUAGCAUGUGACCAUGGCCCUUGCUGGAGGGGUUGAAUUCAACAUGCCUUCCACCGGAUGCUCCUCUCUACACCUUGUCAGAAAGGGGUUUAUCAAUCAAUAACAUGGAAUUCAUUUUUCGCCCGCCCUGUUUACAGGAUGAAAUUACCCACGAGGGACAGCGCUGUCUGGUACAAUACCCAGAAAGUGCCCUUGAUCACAAACACUGCCGUUUGACUGUGGUCUUACUCAGUACAUUGUGCUGAUGUAUUUUCUCAUGGGAACUGUUGGGCUAGCCCAGGCAAGCAUCUGCGAUUCUUAAACGGACAGUUUCGGGCUGGAGAAUUUAAGAGACAACCGAAUAGAGUUUUAAUGCCCUGUUAGAUAAUAAUGAAAGACAUUUCGGGGGAAAAAAAAAUUGCAGUUAGUUUGAAAGCCAGGGCCCACACUCCGUAUUUUGACAGCAGAUGGAUGGCUAUCCCGACUAAUCCCAGUUUACUUUCUGACUUGGAUUUGUAUCACUGGUGCAGUGAGAUGGUGAGGGCUUCCUCCAAUCUGGUUAAUGCUCAGAACCCAUGUUUGAGUUUUAGACUAAUUAUGGGCCAAUAACUGACAUUUUUUCUAUAAUGUGAAGACUAGUGGCAGGAGUAACUCAGUGAGAUUUAACAUAAAAGCAAGAUAAAACAAUUAAAGUGGAAGAAUAUUUGAUUAAGUGGAUCGCUGAUUUAUAGUGGGGUAAAUUGAAAUUGAAAGGAGAGUGAACUUUUUAUGGUAAUCAUAUCUUACGUUCAUUAUCAGAGACUCUGCGUCUUUUGUGCUUUUGCGAUUUAAAAAGAAAUAAACCCGUUUCAGGAGGA